rnacentral:rRNA from 1 species
UGACCGCUGGCGGCGUGCCUAAUACAUGCAAGUCGCGCGAACAGACGAGGAGCUUGCUCCUCUGACGUUAGCGGCGGACGGGUGAGUAACACGUGGAUAACCUACCUAUAAGACUGGGAUAACUUCGGGAAACCGGAGCUAAUACCGGAUAAUAUAUUGAACCGCAUGGUUCAAUAGUGAAAGACGGUUUUGCUGUCACUUAUAGAUGGAUCCGCGCCGCAUUAGCUAGUUGGUAAGGUAACGGCUUACCAAGGCAACGAUGCGUAGCCGACCUGAGAGGGUGAUCGGCCACAUUGGAACUGAGACACGGUCCAGACUCCUACGGGAGGCAGCAGUAGGGAAUCUUCCGCAAUGGGCGAAAGCCUGACGGAGCAACGCCGCGUGAGUGAUGAAGGUCUUCGGAUCGUAAAACUCUGUUAUUAGGGAAGAACAAAUGUGUAAGUAACUAUGCACGUCUUGACGGUACCUAAUCAGAAAGCCACGGCUAACUACGUG